CCUACGGGUGGCUGCAGUGAGGAAUAUUGGUCAAUGGGCGCGAGUCUGAACCAGCCAAGUAGCGUGAAGGAUGACUGCCCUACGGGUUGUAAACUUCUUUUAUAAAGGAAUAAAGUGAGGCACGUGUGCCUUUUUGUAUGUACUUUAUGAAUAAGGAUCGGCUAACUCCGUGCCAGCAGCCGCGGUAAUACGGAGGAUCCGAGCGUUAUCCGGAUUUAUUGGGUUUAAAGGGUGCGUAGAUGGUUUGUUAAGUUAGUUGUGAAAGUUUGCGGCUCAACCGUAAAAUUGCAUUUAAUACUGGAAGCCUAGAGUACAGUUGAGGUAGGCGGAAUGCGUGGUGUAGCGGUGAAAUGCUUAGAUAUCACACAGAACUCCGAUUGCGAAGGCAGCUUACUAAACUGCCACUGACAUUGAUGCUCGAAAGUGUGGGUAUCAAACAGGAUUAGAUACCCCAGUAGUC
rnacentral:rRNA from 1 species